AUUGAACGCUGGCGGCAGGCUUAACACAUGCAAGUCGAGCGGAGAUGAGGUGCUUGCACCUUAUCUUAGCGGCGGACGGGUGAGUAAUGCUUAGGAAUCUGCCUAUUAGUGGGGGACAACAUUCCGAAAGGAAUGCUAAUACCGCAUACGUCCUACGGGAGAAAGCAGGGGAUCUUCGGACCUUGCGCUAAUGAAUGAGCCUAAGUCGGAUUAGCUAGUUGGUGGGGUAAAGGCCUACCAAGGCGACGAUCUGUAGCGGGUCUGAGAGGAUGAUCCGCCACACUGGGACUGAGACACGGCCCAGACUCCUACGGGAGGCAGCAGUGGGGAAUAUUGGACAAUGGGGGAAACCCUGAUCCAGCCAUGCCGCGUGUGUGAAGAAGGCCUUAUGGUUGUAAAGCACUUUAAGCGAGGAGGAGGCUACUGAGACUAAUACUCUUGGAUAGUGGACGUUACUCGCAGAAUAAGCACCGGCUAACUCUGUGCCAGCCGCCGCCGUAA
rnacentral:rRNA from 1 species